rnacentral:misc_RNA from 1 species
CAGGAGCCAACUGGAUGGAAAGAGAAACUUUUGAUUUUUAUGGAAUUAAAUUUAAAGGACACCCAGAUUUAAG